GACGUAGGAUGCAAGCGUUGUCCGGAUUUAUUGGGCGUAAAGAGUUCGUAGGUGGUUUGUUAAGUCUGAUGUUAAAGACUGGGGCUCAACCUCGGAAAUGCAUUGGAUACUGGCAGACUUGAGUGUGGUAGAGGCAAUCGGAAUUCCAGGUGUAGCGGUGAAAUGCGUAGAUAUCAGGAGGAACACCGGUGGCGAAGGCGGGUCUCUGGGCCGAUACUGACGCUGAGGAGCGAAAGCGUGGGGAGCGAACAGG
rnacentral:rRNA from 1 species